CAUUCGAAGCAAAAGCAUGCAGUUCAAAAGCUAAACCUCCCAUUGGAGAACAGAAAAUUUAAUGAGCUUUUAAUGGAAUGCAAUGCUCAGAGUAGUAAAUUAUUUGUUAGUUGACGAUGCAAUCAGCAUGCUGAUUAAGGUUGCUUGGUUUUUUACUAAACAUUAACUGAAUGAAAACGGGUAGUCCUUGUUCUGCUUGGGGGGCUUUAAGGAAGCAAAUGGACUUUCAGAACAGAGAUUGUCAAUAAAGACUAUGUGAGAAGGGAUCCAAAAUCAAGCAGUUUGGAAGCUGAUACACAAAGAGUUUGCCCUGUUCUUGGCUUCCUAGAACUGGGGACUCUUUUGCUGGAAAAACUCAAAAGGGCCUUUUGGUGUUGAGAUGAAGAUCUCUGUCCAAGGAAUACCCAGCUCCAGUUCUGGAUAUGUCCUCUGAGAAGGUGCUCAUGACACCAUCCACACCAGAAGUUGAAGCAGAUACUGAGGGAAGGUUCCACGGCAGCUGAGUGUGGACAAACUAAUCACUGAAUUUCCUUGAUGCAGAGCUGAUAACCUCUCUGGAGUUGGAUGGAGGCCUGUGCUGCCUUGAACCUCUGAGAGAUGCCAUACCAAUUCAAGGCAAGGCCUUUAUCGUUGAAACUCUUGGAUAAUGACAUCUUUAUUCAGGUGAAAAUACAGAAUGAAUUUCAACUGUAUGAUAUUGUUUAUGUUCAUCAGACAUGUUAUUUUCUUUACAAAGUCUGGUUUCAAUAAACUGGCUGUGUAACUGAUAUUAAAUAAACAUGGAAUUUUACACAUUCA